AAGAAGUUUUAUUCUUGCUUUGUCGUUCAAUUUUUGUUUGUUUUAUAUGUGAGUUUUUGCGUGGUUAUUAGGUGGAUUCUAGAUGGAUCAUCGUUGUUGAUUUGUUGUUCUCAUUAUUUAUUAUUGGUUGAUCAAGUAGUUUUGUAUUCAGCAAUACAUUUAGUUUCGGUUAAAUUUUGUGCCAGCAGCCGCGGUUAUACCUUGGAAGCGUUUGAAUGUGUUUGGCUGUGGUAGUUGUAUUUUAUUUUUGUUGACUGAGUUUUGGUAGUUAUUGGGUGAAAUUUUUUUUGUUAUUGUUGGUCUUUUAUUUGUUUGGAGGCUAUGAAAUUCUUUUUGUAAACUAGGAUUAGAUACCCUAUUAUUUUAGAAUGUUAAGUUUUGUUUGCUUGAGUAGUAUUAGUUAUGUUCUUGAAACUUAAAGAAUUUGGCGGUAUCUCAUUCCGUCCAGAGGAAUCUGUCUCGUUAUCGAUAGUCCACGUUGGACCUUACUUAGUUGAUAUGGUUUGUAUACCGCCGUUUAUUGAUUAUCUUUUUAGGGUUUAUGUAAUUUUCUUUAUUCUUUAUUUUGAUUUAUUUCAGGUCAAGGUGCAGCUUGUUUCUAAGUGAAUGAUGGAUUACAUUGUUAUUUGUUUUUGGAUUGUUUGUUUUAAUUUGGGCAUGAAAUUGGAUUUGGUUGUAAUGAUUUGUAGACUGUUGUUAUGAUAAUUGGUUCUGAGAUAUGCACACAUCGCCCGUCGCUCUCGUUUAUUAAUGAGAUAAGUCGUAACAAAGUGGUUGUACCGGAAGGUGCGGCUGGAUUGAU
rnacentral:ncRNA from 1 species